UUUUUAUUUUACCGUUAUCGCUGUUUUCCUUUGUUUGUAUAGUGCUAAUUUUUCGUACAGCGCUAGACGGUGUUGUGCUGUUGAUGUGUGCGGUUACUUAGAUUCAUACGCGUCGUUUAUAACACACGAUGAAUGCAACCAACUACGAACGGCGAUUGUAUUUUUAUGAGAAGCUGUUUUUCAUGGCAGAAAUACACUCGGAGGUUUACCAUUGCUUGCCGAGCGGCGACCGCCAUUAG